GUGUCAGCAGCCGCGGUAAGACGGAGGAUGCAAGUGUUAUCCGGAAUCACUGGGCGUAAAGCGUCUGUAGGUGGUUUAAUAAGUCAACUGUUAAAUCUCGAGGCUCAACCUCGAAAUCGCAGUCGAAACUAUUAGACUAGAGUAUAGUAGGGGUAAAGGGAAUUUCCAGUGGAGCGGUGAAAUGCGUAGAGAUUGGAAAGAACACCGAUGGCGAAGGCACUUUACUGGGCUAUUACUAACACUGAGAGACGAAAGCUAGGGUAGCAAAUGGGAUUAGAUACCCCAGUAGUCCUAGCUGUAAACAAUGGAUACUAGAUGUUGAACAGAUCGACCUGUGCAGUAUUAAAGCUAACGCGUUAAGUAUCCCGCCUGGGAAGUAUGCUCGCAAGAGUGAA
rnacentral:rRNA from 1 species